rnacentral:rRNA from 1 species
AAUACGAAGGGGGCUAGCGUUGCUCGGAAUCACUGGGCGUAAAGCGCACGUAGGCGGCUUCUUAAGUCAGGGGUGAAAUCCUGGAGCUCAACUCCAGAACUGCCUUUGAUACUGAGGAGCUUGAGUCCGGGAGAGGUGAGUGGAACUGCGAGUGUAGAGGUGAAAUUCGUAGAUAUUCGCAAGAACACCAGUGGCGAAGGCGGCUCACUGGCCCGGUACUGACGCUGAGGUGCGAAAGCGUGGGGAGCAAACAG